CCUAGUCAGCCUAAAUACAUUAAAGUCAUCAGAUUCUACCUGAUCUUGGAAGCUAAGCAGUAUAAACUCUGGUUAGUACUUGGAUGGGAGGCCACCAAUGAAUACCAGGUGCUGCAGGUU
rfam:Anolis carolinensis chromosome 4, whole genome shotgun sequence.